UGCUUUAUCUGCUUAAGAAAUCAUGGGAUAAUUUGCUGUGGACAUGACCAUAAAAAAUUUCCCACUAGGUUUUCUAUCUGUUACCGUGUUAGCAAUCAGCCUAUUGGGAACAUUU
rnacentral:snoRNA from 1 species